rnacentral:rRNA from 1 species
GACGAACGCUGGCGGCGUGCCUAAUACAUGCAAGUAGAACGCACAGUUUAUACCGUAGCUUGCUACACCAUAAACUGUGAGUUGCGAACGGGUGAGUAACGCGUAGGUAACCUGCCUGGUAGCGGGGGAUAACUAUUGGAAACGAUAGCUAAUACCGCAUAAUAUUGAUUAUUGCAUGAUAAUUGAUUGAAAGAUGCUAUUGCAUCACUACCAGAUGGACCUGCGUUGUAUUAGCUAGUAGGUGAGGUAACGGCUCACCUAGGCGACGAUACAUAGCCGACCUGAGAGGGUGAUCGGCCACACUGGGACUGAGACACGGCCCAGACUCCUACGGGAGGCAGCAGUAGGGAAUCUUCGGCAAUGGACGAAAGUCUGACCGAGCAACGCCGCGUGAGUGAAGAAGGUGUUCGGAUCGUAAAGCUCUGUUGUAAGAGAAGAACGGGUGUGAGAGUGGAAAGUUCACACUGUGACGGUAUCUUACCAGAAAGGGACGGCUAACUACGU